rnacentral:rRNA from 1 species
AUUGAACGCUGGCGGCAGGCCUAACACAUGCAAGUCGAACGGUAACAGGAAACAGCUUGCUGUUUCGCUGACGAGUGGCGGACGGGUGAGUAAUGUCUGGGAAACUGCCUGAUGGAGGGGGAUAACUACUGGAAACGGUAGCUAAUACCGCAUAACGUCGCAAGACCAAAGAGGGGGACCUUCGGGCCUCUUGCCAUCGUAUGUGCCCAGAUGGGAUUAGCUAGUAGGUGGGGUAACGGCUCACCUAGGCGACGAUCCCUAGCUGGUCUGAGAGGAUGACCAGCCACACUGGAACUGAGACACGGUCCAGACUCCUACGGGAGGCAGCAGUGGGAAUAUUGCACAAUGGGCGCAAGCCUGAUGCAGCCAUGCCGCGUGUAUGAAGAAGGCCUUCGGGUUGUAAAGUACUUUCAGCGGGGAGGAAGGGAGUAAAGUUAAUACCUUUGCUCAUUGACGUUACCCGCAGAAGAAGCACCGGCUAACUCCGUGCCAGCCGCCGCCGUAA